UCCCGGUCGCGCCUGCGCGCAGAGCCUGUCUGCUUCCGGUGUGUGUUGGCGGGGGGACGCGGGGCCGGGGAGAUGGCGGAGGGCGGCGCGGAGCGGGCCGAUGGCCGGAUCGUGAAAAUGGAGGUGGAUUACAGCGCGACGGUGGAUCAGCGGCUGCCCGAGUGCGAGCGGCUGGCGCAGGAAGGAAGAUUGCAAGAAGUAAUUGAAAACCUUCUCUCCUUGGAAAAACAAACACGGACGGCAUCCGACAUGGUCUCCACAUCCCGUAUCUUAGUUGCUAUAGUGAAAAUGUGUUACGAAGCUAAAGACUGGGAUGCUCUUAAUGAAAAUAUUAUUCUCCUGUCAAAGAGAAGAAGUCAGCUAAAACAGGCAGUUGCUAAAAUGGUCCAGCAGUGCUGCACUUACGUUGAAGACAUCACAGACUUACCAGUAAAACUGCGCUUAAUCGACACAUUGCGUACGGUUACAGAAGGAAAAAUAUAUGUGGAAAUUGAACGUGCUCGCCUGACAAAGACACUUGCAACAAUAAAAGAACAGAAUGGUGAAGUGAAAGAGGCUGCCUCCAUUUUGCAGGAACUGCAGGUGGAAACCUAUGGUUCAAUGGAAAAGAAGGAACGUGUAGAAUUUAUCUUGGAGCAGAUGAGACUCUGUCUAGCUGUAAAGGACUAUAUUCGGACUCAAAUUAUCAGCAAAAAAAUUAAUACAAAAUUUUUUCAAGAAGAAAAUACAGAAAAACUAAAGUUGAAAUACUACAACUUAAUGAUCCAGUUGGAUCAACACGAAGGCUCCUACCUCUCCAUCUGCAAGCACUACAGAGCCAUUUACGAUACUCCCUGUAUCCAGGCUGAAAGUGAAAAGUGGCAGCAGGCACUGAAGAGCGUUGUUCUUUAUGUUAUUCUUUCACCUUACGACAAUGAACAAUCUGAUUUGGUGCAUAGAAUUAGUAGUGACAAAAAGCUAGAAGAAAUCCCGAAGUAUAAAGACCUCCUCAAACUGUUUACCACCAUGGAGCUGAUGCGAUGGACUGCUCUAGUCGAAGAAUAUGGGAAAGAAUUGAGAGAAGGAUCCCUGGACAGUCCUGCAACAGAUGUUUUUGGCUGUACAGAGGAAGGUGAAAAGAGAUGGAAAGAUCUAAAGAACAGAGUUGUGGAACAUCCCGCUACAGUUAUUUUUUGCACAUAACCCUCUACUCUGAACACUUUUAUUCCAGAAUAUUAGAAUAAUGGCUAAAUAUUAUACCAGAAUUACAAUGAAGAGAAUGGCACAGCUCUUGGAUCUGUCUGUUGACGAAUCGGAGGAGUUCCUGUCCAACCUCGUAGUUAAUAAGACCAUCUUUGCUAAAGUAGACAGGCUGGCAGGAAUUAUCAAUUUUCAGAGGCCUAAGGACCCAAACAAUUUACUCAAUGACUGGUCUCACAAGCUCAACUCACUAAUGGCCCUAGUUAACAAAACCACACAUCUCAUUGCCAAAGAGGAGAUGAUACAUAACCUGCAGUAAGGUGCCUCAGUAAUCUCAGUGCUUUUAAAGAAGGCAUUAAAUCUUCAUAAUAGAGACUAUUAUUACAGUGUGUAUAUGGGUUUUUUUUCCCUGUCAAGCCUUCCUGGUCUAAAAUUUAGAACAUAAUUCUGAAAUUCCUGUUGACAAUUAAGUUCCCUUGGUUAUUCAUUCAGUUGUUAAAUGCUUUUGCUACAAUUGGUGAAAGAACAUAAUAAAACUGUAUUGCCUGUA